rnacentral:rRNA from 1 species
GCAGUCGAGCGAAUGGAUUAAGAGCUUGCUCUUAUGAAGUUAGCGGCGGACGGGUGAGUAACACGUGGGUAACCUGCCCAUAAGACUGGGAUAACUCCGGGAAACCGGGGCUAAUACCGGAUAACAUUUUGAACUGCAUGGUUCGAAAUUGAAAGGCGGCUUCGGCUGUCACUUAUGGAUGGACCCGCGUCGCAUUAGCUAGUUGGUGAGGUAACGGCUCACCAAGGCAACGAUGCGUAGCCGACCUGAGAGGGUGAUCGGCCACACUGGGACUGAGACACGGCCCAGACUCCUACGGGAGGCAGCAGUAGGGAAUCUUCCGCAAUGGACGAAAGUCUGACGGAGCAACGCCGCGUGAGUGAUGAAGGCUUUCGGGUCGUAAAACUCUGUUGUUAGGGAAGAACAAGUGCUAGUUGAAUAAGCUGGCACCUUGACGGUACCUAACCAGAAAGCCACGGCUAACUACGUGCCAGCAGCCGCGGUAAUACGUAGGUGGCAAGCGUUAUCCGGAAUUAUUGGGCGUAAAGCGCGCGCAGGUGGUUUCUUAAGUCUGAUGUGAAAGCCCACGGCUCAACCGUGGAGGGUCAUUGGAAACUGGGAGACUUGAGUGCAGAAGAGGAAAGUGGAAUUCCAUGUGUAGCGGUGAAAUGCGUAGAGAUAUGGAG